rnacentral:lncRNA from 1 species
AUGCCCAGAGGUUUCUGGUCACUGUGUUGCUGCGAGCACAUGUCAGGGAAAGGUGACCAAACGCCGGAGGCCCCGCAGGCCGGCGGCGUGCGGGGCUCCCGGCGCACAGAGCGCGCGCUGCGGCGGCCGCAGCGCCCUGGGGGCUCCGGGCUGAGCCCCCGCCCCGAAGGCACCCGCAGGCCAUUUUCUGGGUUGCAUCAGGUGGGGGCGACCCAGGUCCUGCCAGGGCCGCGAAGACGCCGGGUGGGGACACUCCCUCCGCGUCCUCCAGCCCAGGCCGGCCCCGCCAGCCAAGCCCGACACGCCCUCUGCGAAGGACACACCCGCCUCGAGGAGGGCGGACCCGCGCGCAGGGCCCGCCGCCUGGUCCUCACCCGACCCCCGCGGACGCGGCCCAGCGCGGCGCCCGGGCCUCACGUGUCCCUCCCGGCCCCGGGGCCGCCUCACGUUCUGCUUCCGCCCGAACCCUUCCGACUUCCGGCAAAGAGUCCCCCCCGGCCCCGCACCUCCGCGCCCACCGGGCACAGCCACCCGCAGCCUCGGCGCGCCAGGCCCCCAGCCCCUCGCGAUGCGCCCGGCGGCCGCAGCUCCUCCGAGCCCCGCGGCGGCCGCUCCGGGGCCGCGCCGGCUCGCCGCAGCCAGGUGGCCACGGCAGGCGCUCGCUCCCGCGGCAGGCGCGGAGAAGAAAACGGGGAAACGGCAGCGCGACCCGCAGCCCGUAUCCCUCCGCCGCCCCUCCCCCGCCCGGCCCAGGCCCCCCUCCCUCCGGGCUGCGCUCACCUCCCUCCAGCUCAAACUGUUUUGGUAGCAACGGCAACGGCGGCGGCGCGUCCCGGCCCGGCUCCAGUCGGCUCCUCGGUCUCGGCGGGCCUCCCCGCCCCUUCGUCGUCCUCCUCCUCCCCCUCGCCAGCGCGGACGCCCCCCCGGCCGCGCCAGCCCGCGCCUCCCCGCUCGGCGUCCGCGCGUCCCCGCCGCGCUCCGGCGUCUCCUCGGCGCGCCCGGCUCCCGGCUGUCCCCGCCCGGCGUGCGAACCGGUGUAUGGGCCCCUCACCAUGUCGCUGA